rnacentral:rRNA from 1 species
UAAACUGGAGGAAGGUGGGGAUGACGUCAAAUCAUCAUGCCCCUUAUGACCUGGGCUACAAACGUGAUACAAUGGCUGGAACAACGGGAAGCGAGUUCGCGAGGACGAGCGGAUCCCUCAAAGCCGGUCGCAGUUCGGAUUGAAGUCUGCAACUCGACUUCAUGAAGCUGGAAUCGCUAGUAAUCGUGGAUCAGCCAAGCCGCGGUGAAUACGUUCCCGGGCCUU